AGCGCCCUGGGCGCGCGCGCUCCGAGCGUGCGUGCGUGCGUGUGAGUGAGCACGUGAGGGCCCGGAACGUGCACAGGGGGAGGGAGCAGGAAACGGGAGGCGAGGGGCGGGGCCGCCGUUGCCAUGGCAGUGACGUCAGGCGUCGGAGAGCGAACCCGCCCCAGCCCCACGCGCGCGCGCGCACACAGAGACAUGCACACGCGCGCGCACCGCCGCUCUCCCUCAGACACACUGGAGGGAAAGGUCAAACUAAAGGCGAGGGAGCGGGGAGGCCGGAGGGAGCCGCCGCCGCCGCCGCGCGCCAUGACGGACGCGGCCGAGGCUGCUUUCUCGCCGCCGACACCGCCGAGCCGCUGCUCUCGCCGCGCCCCCUGCCCCCGCCCCCCGUGCCCCCCUCCCCCCCCCGGCUCUCGCGCGUCCCCGCGCCCCCUCCCCACGGCGCUCCGGGCGCGCGUCGGGCCUGGGGCGCGCUCCGGGCGGGCGCGGGCGCGGGUGCGGGAGGGUGGGGGCCGCGGCGGGCGGCCGGCCUCCUCGCGCGACCCCCGGUCCCUCCGCCCCGUCCCCUGGGCGAGAGCCCGCCAGGUUGUGACAGCUGCCGUCACAGAGGAGAUGUCUGAAGGAGUCUUCUGUGAAGGAUAAGAGAACACCCAGGACACCUGGUUACCAGCCCCGUUGUGGAGUGAGAACAGAAGUUGAACAGAGAUCUGGAAAAUGCCCGUAUGUAAGGAGCCGGUGAGACAAGAACCCAGAAGGGAAGCUGAGAAGGAAUCAUUGGAAAGGGUUGAGGACCAAGAGCAAAUAAAUGUUAGAGAAGCCAGCUCCUUAUUAGUCA
rnacentral:lncRNA from 1 species